UUGAGUAUCCUGCUCAUGAAUUUUAAAUAGCCGCGGAAAUUUAACCGUGCUAAGGUAGCAUAAUCAUUAGCCUUUUAAUUAAAGGCUCGUAUGAACGGUAAAACAUUUCAAUUUCUUUAUUAAUUAAUUAUCUUUGAACUUAAACUAAGAAUAAAAAUGUUCUUAUAGAAAAAAUAGACAACAAGACCCUUUUGAACUUCACUUUUGUUUAGCUGGGGCAGCUUAAAAAAAAUUAUCUUUUUAUUAUUUUUAAUAUAAAUGAACCAGCAUAACUGAUUAUAUGAACAAGUUACCAAAGGGAUAACAGCGUAAUAUUUUUUUAAAGCUCUUAUUAAAAAAAAUGAUUACGACCUCGAUGUUGAAUUAGUAUAACUUUAUAAAUGCAGUAAUUUUAAAAGUAGGUCUGUUCGACCAUCAAUAUACUACAUGAUCUGAUUCCAAACCGGA
rnacentral:rRNA from 1 species